rnacentral:tRNA from 1 species
GGGCGCUUAGCUCAGUUGGCUAGAGCGUCUCGUUUACACCGAGAAGGUCUGGGGUUCAAGUCCCUAAGCGCCCACCA